AAGAAGAGGGACAGGAGAGAAAAGGAGAAGAAAGGAAGGGGAAGAGAAAGUGAGAGGAAGAAAAGAAGAAAGGGAGGAAAAAAAAGGAGAAAAUUGGGUGUUGCGUCAUGUGUUUUCCUGACCUGUGUUGUUUUCCUCCAUUUCUCGUAAAUUUUCAUACUGGACUUUACUUUCAUUCCUUGGCGUUCCACUGUUUAACUUCUCCUCUUACUUCCUCUCAUACUUAUCUCUUACUUUCUCCAAUGCGCUCCCUAAAGAAGAUCAGGUCCUAUACAGUUCCCUGGUAGACCCAACGCACAUAUCAAUGAAAUCACGAUACACUAUAGGCUUAACAUGCAAUAAAAACCUUAAAGCAACAUUUGAAACACAAUUACUACUCCUUCCAUGACACCAAGAAAAAAGAAAAGUCCUCUAAAUAAAAAAAAUAUAUAUAAGGAAAUUGAAGUGUAUAUAUUUCCCUAAGACACACAUAUAGAAAAAAAGUUAAAGUUGCAACGUUUCCAAAUAUACACACUUUAUUAUAAGACAACCUUACAUGUAUAUACAAUGUGUGUGUGUGUGUGUGUGUGUGUGUGUGUGUGUGUGUGUGUGUUCCCUCAUUCCUCACAUUAAAUAAUCAUAUAUACCAUUGACUCAUCCAUGACUGACAAGAAAACUUCAACAAAAUCUACAAAAUAAUACAAAAGAUACACAGUUCAUGCCCAAAGGUGACAAAAAAAGUUACAGUAAUAAUAAAUAUGACCAAAAACAAGAAUAAUAAUAAUAAAAAUAAAUGGGUGCUUCCGUAAAGAGACAACAGCUCCUACAACUCUUUUUGCUGCCCCCUGUACUGUAAAAAAUAGAGAUAAUAAUGACUUCUCAGGUUAGAUUACUCCUGUUAGUACUGCUAGAAAUGAUAUAAACACACUAACACAAACACUAACAGAUGAUAUGCAUGAAAGGAACACAUGUCUCGUAUCUGUUUAUAUGUUCAGAGGUAUAUGUACACUUUUAUUAUGGUGAAAGGGAUGCCAACAAAAUGCAGCUCCUAUACAAAAAUAAUGGAAAUAAGAGGGAGAUGGAGAUAGGAAGGCAUGCAGAGAUAGGAAAAUAUGCAGCUCCUAUACAAAAAUAAUGGAAAUAAGAGGGAGAUGGAGAUAGGAAGGUAUGCAGAGAUAGGAAGAUAUGCAGCUCCUAUACAAAAAUAAUGGAAAAGAGUGAGAUGGAGAUAGGAAGGUAUGCAGAGAUAGGAAGAUAUGCAGCUCCUAUACAAAAAUAAUGGAAAUAAGAGGGAGAUGGAGAUAGGAAGGAAUUGUUGCAGCAGGGAAGUCAAACAACAGAUGAAAAGAUGAGAUAAAAGAGGGAGAGAUGGGAAGGAAUUGUUGAAGCAGGAAAGUUAAACAAAAGAUGAAAAGAUGAGAUAAAA